GUGCUAGUAGAACUGGCUCAAGUAGCAAACAAUCACUGAAUGGAUUUGUGGCCUGCUGCCUUUUACAAGAAAUGUAAAAUUAUAAUGUUUUGUUUUACAGAUCAGUGUACCUUGCAGAUGUGGUUGGUGGGAGGUUGAUUCCCAACAGAAUGGUGGUUGUAUGAUUCCUAGAGUGUGAGGCUACACUUCAGGGGAUAGUAGGAAAAGUUCAAGAUGCCAUUGGCAAUUACAACCCCAUCAUUUUGACAGAUGCACAGGGCAAUGCAAUUCUGGAGUCUGAAGGCACAACAGGGUCACAGUACUGGAAACAAAAUGCACGAAAAGUUCUUGUUGUACCUGAACAAGACUUUAAUAGCCUCCAGGGAACAAAGAGGAGGAAACUGAGCAGCCGUAAAUAUGAUGACAGUGCCGGUUUGGGAGAAGUCAGUGUCAAAAUAGAACAGUUGGUAAUGGCAUCUCAAAGUCUACCAGCUGUUACAGCAGCAAUCAGAGAGGUCACUGAUCUUGCAGUUACCCAGAGAGUCAUACUCACUGCUCCCAAACUGCAGACCAACAAGGAGGGAUUUAGCUGUGUUGUUUGUAUGAACAUCAUUGAGGAACCAGUGCUCUCACGGUGCUGCAGAAGCAUUAUUGGCUGCAAGACAUGUGUGGAGCAGUGGCUAGAGACAUCUCAGCACUGUGCAAAAUGCAGGGAGGCCAACAACAGUGUUAUAGAAGUUACUGGUCUAACAGCUGCAUUUUCUGUGUUGAAAUAAUUUUUUACAGAGGAGUAAUGUGGUGUUUACACACACAAAGGUUUAAAUUUACAGUCAGUUGAUCGUUUCCUGUCUGUUCUGUACAGUUUUCAGAUGCAGCAGUUCAUACAUUUCUCUGAGUUACGUUUAUGAGAAAGAGCAGAGCUUCUUUGUAUGGUGUAAAGUCACCAUUUACGGCUCUGAAAAACAAAUGUGAAAUGUCAGAAUAUUUUUCUGCAA